ensembl:lncRNA
AUGGAUCAGCCCACUUCCUCCACAGCCCAGCAGUUGUAUUUUAACCUCUUUGGCCCUGUGCAUGCUUUUUUCUGCAAACCAUGUGAUUGUUUGAGCUUGUCUAAGCUUUGCAGCAUUGACAGGGCUCCUUUAUCAGUUUGCUUGCCCACUCGUGUGGGAAUAGUCUGGAAUGCCGCAGCUGGAUCCAGAGAUAACACUCUGGUUUGGGAGCUGCACACUGCACAGUUUCCUGUGACAGCAGAGGAGACGCUUGCAGAGAGGGAGUGGCUGUGCAGGCUACGUUUUCCCCACAUGACAGGUCUUGAUAUGUGUAGAAUACCGAAGCAACUCUAUUUUCAGUUUGGGGACAGAGAUGACUCAAUCCUCUACAUCAGCAUGAAGCUCAAGGCAGCAGCUGAGAUUGGGAUCAAUGCGAACCACAUUAGGCUUCCCGAGACAGCCACAGAGGACAAAGUCCUGUGAAAUAUAGUUGCGGUAAAUGAGAAUCCUGCGGUCCAUGGCCUCAUCGUACAACUAGCGCUUGACUCUAUCAACCCAUGCUGUGACCUCAGAGAAAGAUGUGGAUGGGUAGGUGUUAUUUGCUUGAAAUGUAUGUUUGAGAAGCAAGACGACGAAAAUGGGCCUGAUAGUGGAUUUAUUUAAACUAACUGGAAUAGACAGGUAGUGCAGACUUUUUCCUUUACAAGGUCAAGUUGAUGCAUUUCACACACUUUUUUCCCAUCGUUUGAUCCAUUGGGCCUCUGCUAGGUCUAGUUUCAAGGUGUAAUCACUCUACUGUAUUUGGCUUCCUUAUCUGUUCUUUCCACUAAAAAGUCAGAAGGCCAAAGGCCUUUUUGUUGAUGUGUGUGAAUAUUGGCCUUUUUACUGAUUUUAGAUGAGUUAUCCAUGUAAAAUUAGUUUUGAGGGGCAACUGAGUCUAAAAUCUGCCCAAAUAAGCAAUUUCCACCUGCAGGCUCUUGAGACAUCCUAUGAGAGUUUCAUCAGACUUAUGCUGCAUACUUAUGGGAAAUAGAUGACUUGCGUUACCGUAUGUGAUUUAAAAUGUGUUUAUUGUGAUUACUGACAGGAGCUAUAUUGAGCUUUUUAACUGGAAGCUGCUGGUUAUCAUUUUAACUUUAAAUAGAAAAGGUGAAGCAGAAAUACUGAAAUAUCCAAAACUGUUUGUCAAGAUUGUUUCAAUAAUAUAUUUCAAAUCAGUAAUACAAUCUUGCAACAAUGCUGUCAGU